rnacentral:rRNA from 1 species
UCGGUCUGGCGACGAGUGGCGAACGGGUGAGUAAUGCAUCGGAACGUAUCCAUUUGUGGGGGAUAGCCCGGCGAAAGCCGGAUUAAUACCGCAUACGACCUACGGGUGAAAGCGGGGGACCGAAAGGCCUCGCGCUAUUGGAGCGGCCGAUGGCUGAUUAGCUAGUUGGUGGGGUAAAGGCCUACCAAGGCGACGAUCCUUAGCUGGUCUGAGAGGACGAUCAGCCACACUGGAACUGAGACACGGUCCAGACUCC